rnacentral:rRNA from 1 species
AGUGGCGGACGGGUGAGUACAAGCAAGGAACGUACCCUAAAGUAUCGCACAGCUCGUCGAAAGACGGGGUAAUUCGGUAUGUGGAUGCAAAUCUAAAGGGAUUAACCUCCCGCUUUAGGAGCGGCCUUGUGCCUAUCAGCUAGUUGGUGGGGUAAUGGCCUACCAAGGCGACGACGGGUAGGGGGCGUGAGAGCGCGACCCCCCACAAUGGCACUGAGACACGGGCCAUACAUCUACGGAUGGCAGCAACUGGGAAUCGUUGGCAAUGGACGAAAGUCUGACCACGCGACGCCGCGUGAGGGAUGAAGUAUUUCGGUAUGUAAACCUCUUUUGCCAAGUCUUUGAGGCUUGGCGAAUAAGCACCUACAAACUACGUGCCAGCAGUCGCGGUAAUACGUAGGGUGCAAGCGUUAUCCGGAUUCACUGGGCGUAAAGAGUCGUGUAGGUGGUUUGCCGCAUCGCACUUGAAAGCCCGAGGCUCAACCUCGGCGUUGGGUGCGAGAUGGGUAGACUUGGAGAGAGGCAGAGGAAAGGGGAACUGAUGGUGAAGCAGUGAAAUGCGUUGAUAUCAUCAGGAACACCAAAGGCGAAGGCACCUUUCUGGGCCUCUUCUGACACUGAGACACGAAAGCUAGGGGAGCGAAGCAGAUUAGAGACCUGCG